UUGCUCAUCCCUCCACGUAGCUUCUCCUAGAACGUCUUGUUCCUUGUUCCCCAGGGAUAACAUUCGUUUCGCUCUCUUUCAAAAAUCGUUCAACAUUUCUGGAGAUACAGUGAUGUCGAAUUCAGGAGCUCUGAGUUUUGUUACCAAUGUGGGAGGAAGGAUACAAAAGAGGGCAGUCAAAUCGACAGUGGAGCAGUAUGAGAAGUAUCAUGACCGUCACGGGGGCGAUGAGGAAA